rnacentral:lncRNA from 1 species
AAAAAAUCAAACACUUUAAAGUAUAAACAGAUGAUAAUAUACAAAACCUUUAUUUUCGAUUUCGAUUUUUACCCCUGAAAAUAUAUUUAAAGCGCAGCAAAGAAUCGUCCUGCUCUUCAUUAUUUUAUAUCAAUUAAGACAUUCGUCACAACUCGGCCGAUUCCGUACGGAUUUUACCGAGGAUUGCCGAAUGCAAUUAAGCAAGACGGUAAAAAUGUGCAACCGAUGCCUUUAAUGUAUGAUAUCACGUGACUAUUGUGACGAGAGUGUAUGGUAAGACGUAUCGUUUCACAUGCAUUUGUCAUCGUCUUAGAAGAAAUGAUUGCUCCUUUAAUUUGCUUUCAGGAAAUAAAAAUCAACCGUAUCGUGUCUUUGCUGUUACAACACAAUACAAUAACAGUCAAUUAAAAUGUAGAACUGUGAUUUCAAACAAUAAAUGAAUUUUACUGUACAUCCCUUUAUACUCCCAAUUAAAUUGACAAGCGUAAGAAAUGUGUUGCCAAAAAAUGUUACCUAAAGAUCAAACCACUUUUGUUUUUCAUAUAGUUGGUAAAUUGCAACUAUAACUUCAAUUUCUGCAUGUAUUAAUAUUCACUUAUCUAGACAGAUUAUUUGUAGAAAGUUCAUUUCUUUUCUUCAAUUUUCCAUAAUGAAAGAAAUGGGUAUCUCGAAUAAUGAUUGGUAAAUAAUUUUAUAAAAACAAUAAAAAAAAAAUCUGUGCAAAACAGUACGCAAAAUUUGCACAAUUUCAGAUAAUAAACUUUCACUAAAAUACCAUUCAUGACAGUUUCUCUUCAAGUAUAUGAGCAAUUCUUUUAUAUAAUCGUACAUGUAGCUCUUUCACUCCCAAUCAUAUAUCAAAUAAUGUUAUUUUUUUAUGAAAUCAAAAUUCAGUUGUGAACUACUUUUUUGCAGUUUUAAAAAUCUAAUGCAUGCAAGGUACAUGUAAUAUUUUCAAAAGCGUAAAUCAAAACUUUAUGAUUGGUUAAAACGAUGAAUUUUAAACCAAUGACGUUGUGUUAUUUUCACAGUGAAACGGUAAACUUCAGUAUUUGUGUAUUCAAUUUUAAAGUCCUGCCACUGUUCAUUUUUAUUUAGUAGAAUUUAUUUAUUUUAUUGUGACAAUCAAAAUGUUUCUGUUUGUAUAUUUU